ACCCCUUCUAUUUCUAUGAAUAGAGUAAUUUAUGGAAACUGUGUAUUUGCUCGUUUCUUCAGUAUAAUUUGGACCAUGCUAAAAGAAAGAAGGGAUGGCCUUAACAUACCUGGAAAAGGAAAAACUCCGUAAAAUAUUUCGUUGGAAAACCUUCGUUGAUUGAACGAAAUUUUCCUUUGCUCCUUAGAAAUUCAUGGACAAAAAUAUUUUCUGGUUCCUAAAAUUUUAGAACGAAUAACAUUGAAUUCAUUCGAUUUUUGGAGGAAAACGUUUCUGGUUCUUCUUAAGUUUUGAAAGAAUGAUAUUGAACUCAUUUGAUUUUGGUGGAAAACGUUUCCGAUUCUAGCCUUUGAAAGGGGUUAGUACUAAAUUGUGAUAAUAUCACAUUUGUGGGUUUAUUAGAUUCCUACAAGGUGAUAAGAUUUAGACACCUCUUUACAAUUGUUUAUGAGUCAUAUCUUUAAAUUGGUGGCCUUGUGCCACAUGGAGAGUGGUGUGUUUUAGUUAAUAUUUAUCCACUUAUUAGUUAACUAGGUAAUGUCUCAUUACCCAGUAAUUAACCAAUUACUAUAAAUAUAAUAUAUAUAUAUGUGUGUGUGUGUGUGUGUGUGUGUGUAUAACACCCUAUGAUCAUAGGUCAAUGCACAUGUAUAAAUGAGUGAAAUGUAUGAAAAAUACGUAAUAAUCUCAAUAUUUCUUCCGGAUAAACUUUUUCAACUGUGUAUUAUUCUGAGACCCAUAAAUAGAAGAUAAUAAUAUUUUUCAUGGGGAAUCAAGAAUAUAGACACCCCUUCUAUUUCUAUGAAUAGAGUAAUUUAUGGAAACUGUGUAUUUGCUCAUUUCUUCAGUAUAAUUUGGACCAUGAUAAAAGAAAGAAGGGAGGGCCUUAACAUACCUGGAGAAGGAAAAACUCCGUAAAAUAUUUCGUUGGAAAACCUUCGUUGAUUGAACGAAAUUUUCCUUUGCUCCUUAGAAAUUCAUGGACAAAAAUAUUUUCUGGUUCCUAAAAUUUUAGAACGAAUAACAUUGAAUUCAUUCGAUUUUUGGAGGAAAACGUUUCUGGUUCUUCUUAAGUUUUGAAAGAAUGAUAUUGAACUCAUUUGAUUUUGGUGGAAAACGUUUCCGAUUCUAGCCUUUGAAUGGGUUUAGUACUAAAUUGUGAUAAUAUCACAUUUGUGGGUUUAUUAUAUU
rnacentral:lncRNA from 1 species